UCAGAUGGUGUUUUUACACUCAAAGCAGCAGGGCUUUAUAACCAGGAACUCCUGAGACUCACGUCCUACGUAGCUUUGCUGGCUUAUUUCACAGACUUCGAUCUAUAGCACCAGACAGAAAUACAACAGCCUGGCAAAGACUGGUAACGAGCUCCUUCCACUAGAAAGAUUGAGGGUGUUCCAAUGUUUCUGUUACAUAGCUAUCUCUUACAAUGCCUGAGUCAGGGCUAUGAGUGUGAAGAAUGUUCAUGGGACCUGUAAAUGACACAUUAGAGUCGUAGACCGUUCAGCAGAAGGAAAAAAACAAACAAGUGGAUCAGCACAUUAGUGGAAGAGAAGCCUAAAAGUAAACCAUAAUAUGACACCUCUUUUCUCACGGGCAUGACAUAGACUUACACACAUUGUCACUAAAGAAGCUAACAGUCAUCCCCUCCACGCGCUGUGAUCCCCACAGAUGCCAUUCUGUGUGCUGCAGCCAGCAAGAAAGAAAAGAUCCCUGGUCUCAUGGUCCUUCCAACAUGGUGGAUUUGGGGUGAAGGACAGACUACAAACAAGUUUAAAAUAAUCAAGAAAAUGUCCGGAAUGUGAUAAGCACCAUGAAGAAAAUGAAAUAUGGUCAUGCAGCAAUGAUUAGUGGGGUGGCCAGGGAAGACCCACCUGAGGAAAAGUGUACUGAUAGGGUGCCCAGGACUGUCCUCUCUUGAGUCCAUUUUAUAAUAAAGCUUUCCUUCCACAACCACCA